rnacentral:rRNA from 1 species
UAGGGAAUCUUCCACAAUGGACGCAAGUCUGAUGGAGCAACGCCGCGUGAGUGAAGAAGGCUUUCGGGUCGUAAAACUCUGUUAUUGAAGAAGAACGUGUGUGACAGUAACUGGUCAUGCAGUGACGGUAUUCAAUCAGAAAGUCACGGCUAACUACGUGCCAGCAGCCGCGGUAAUACGUAGGUGGCAAGCGUUGUCCGGAUUUAUUGGGCGUAAAGCGAGUGCAGGCGGUCUUUUAAGUCUGAUGUGGAAGCCUUCGGCUUAACCGAAGAAGGGCAUCGGAAACUGGGAGACUUGAGUGCAGAAGAGGAGAGUGGAACUCCAUGUGUAGCGGUGAAAUGCGUAGAUAUAUGGAAGAACACCAGUGGCGAAGGCGGCUCUCUGGUCUGUAACUGACGCUGAGGCUCGAAAGCGUGGGCAGCAAACAGGAUUAGAUACCCUGGCAGUCCACGCCGUAAACGAUGAAUACUAAGUGUUGGAGGGUUUCCGCCCUUCAGUGCUGCAGCUAACGCAUUAAGUAUUCCGCCUGGGGAGUACGACCGCAAGGUUGAAAC